GCCCCGGAACCAGCCAUAGAGAGCAAGCGCCUCCUACGCCGGACGACCAAAUUACAGCAACCAUCAAGCCAUUAUCAGGUGGCAAUUAGCAUUUACAUCACAGCAGAAGAGGCUCUUGUGGAGAAUUUCAAGGAGGGCAUGGUUGCUGCUUUAAAGAUGAGUUCUGGGAUGCUCUACGAAGGGUGGCAGCCUGUAAAAAUGCACAAAGGUAAAAUUCCAAAUGGAGAACUUUAAUCCUGUGUGUGGAAAGGUGAAGUGGAAUGAACAACACUUGUUAGAACAGCAGCAUAUAACAGCACAUAACUGACACUGGCAAUAAAAGAAUGGAAAGGACAGAAGUUGGGAAAUAUCUUGUCAAAGGAAUGUAAUGAAGGUAUAGACAAACAGCACCAUCCUUCAUACCAGCAUGCUGGCACCUCAACUCAAAAUAAAACAGAAGCCCAAAGUAACAUAUAACAGCCAAAUUAGAACCAAGGUGGCAGCAAAGAAAAGCUCAUGAAUUGAGAGAGAAGAGCAACAGUUUUAAAUGGUGUUUCAUGGUUUUUUGAAAAGCCAAAUAUAUUUCAAUGUAUAUGCAGACCAAGAGGAAUGGUUAGGAUAUUAACUAUGGAAAAAAUUAAUUCACCAUUUCUGUCCUCUACAAUCAGUUGGCUAGAACAACAGCAUAGCUGAGUUCAUGAUGCUCAAAUGCUGCAUUAGUAGUCAUUAAUGGUCCUUGCUAAUUAUAUUUGAUUCUUAAGUGUGGGUAGUCUUGCUAUAGUCAUCUAAGCCUAUAAAAUAAACUGGGGAAGAAGGCAGUAAUAAGUAAACAAAAUGUAGACAACCUCCUCCUAAAAUAUUUAUAUCUAUCCUGUUUUGUUGUGAUUGCAAGAUUUUAUAACUAGAACUAAGCAAAAGUUUGUAUGCCUUUUUUCUUUCUGAUAAAAAUGCAGA